CCUACGGGAGGCUGCAGUGAGGAAUAUUGGUCAAUGGGCGGGAGCCUGAACCAGCCAAGUCGCGUGAGGGAUGACGGCCCUAUGGGUUGUAAACCUCUUUUGCCGGGGAGCAAGGUGUCGCACGUGUUCGGUUUGGAGAGUACCCGGAGUACAAGCAUCGGCUAACUCCGUGCCAGCAGCCGCGGUAAUUCGGAGGAUGCGAGGGUUAUCCGGAUUUAGUGGGUUAAAGGGGUGCGUAGGCGGACGCUUAAGUCAGCGGGAAAACUGCGGGGUUAAACCCCGUCGAGCCGUUGAAACUGGGUGCCUUGAGUGGGCGAGAGGUACGCGGAAUGCGUGGUGUAGCGGUGAAAUGCAUAGAUAUCACGCAGAACUCCGAUUGCGAAGGCAGCGUACCGGCGCCCAACUGACGCUGAAGCACGAAGGCGUGGGUAUCGAACAGGAUUAGAUACCCCAGUAGUC
rnacentral:rRNA from 1 species